GGAGAGUAGGGCGUAGUGGUACGCAACCGGAUUUGAACCCCGGCCCGUCGAGAGAUCGGCGACAGUUCGACUCUGUUACUCUCCUCCA
rnacentral:tRNA from 1 species